UCUACGGGAGGCAGCAGUGGGGAAUAUUGCACAAUGGGGGGAACCCUGAUGCAGCGACGCCGCGUGGGUGAGGAAGUACUUCGGUAUGUAAAGCCCUAUCAGCAGGGAAGAAAAUGACGGUACCUGACUAAGAAGCUCUGGCUCACUACGUGCCAGAAGCCGCGGUAAUACGAAGGCGGCAAGCGUUAUCCGGAUUUACUGGGUGUAAAGGGAGCGUAGACGGCGUGCCAAGUCGGAUGUGAACGGCCGGGGCUCAACCCCGGGACUGCAUUGGAAACUGGGGUGCUGGAGUGCCGGAGGGGCAGGCGGAAUGCGUGGUGUAGCGGUGAAAUGCGUAGAUAUUAGGAGGAACCCCGAUGGCGAAGGCGGCUUGCUGGACGGUAACUGACGUUGAGGCUCGAAAGCGUGGGGAGCAAACAGGAUUAGAUACCCGAGUAGUC
rnacentral:rRNA from 1 species